rnacentral:snoRNA from 1 species
GGGCAGUGAUGAGGAUUUUGAGAUGUCAUGCACCACUCUGAUGUUUUCUGUGCUGAGAAAUUCCUCUUACCCAUAUAUUUCUGAGCCC